UCCGGUUUAACACCGGCAGUCUUUCUAGAGUGCCCAACUGAAUGGUGGCAACUAAAAAUAAGGGUUGCGCUCGUUAAGGGACUUAACCCGACAUCUCACGAUACGAGCUGACGACAGCCAUGCAGCACCUGUCUCCUAGCCCCCGAAGGGGAAGCCCUAUCUCUAGGGAUGUCUAGGGAUGUCAAACCCAGGUAAGGUUCUUCGCGUUGCAUCGAAUUAAACCACAUGCUCCACCGCUUGUGCGGGCCCCCGUCAAUUCCUUUGAGUUUUAAUCUUGCGACCGUACUUCCCAGGCGGGGUACUUAAUGCGUUAGCGUCGACACUGCAGGGGUCAAUUCCCGCAACAUCUAGUACCCAUCGUUUACGGCGUGGACUAC
rnacentral:misc_RNA from 1 species